ACAGCACACCCGGCUGCUGGAGUGUUGCUUCCUCCGCGCACCGAAGCGCACUUUGCACUAUACUCCGUUCAUCGCGCGCUUGAAAGGGCUGUUUGCGACGGAAUCUAUUAGAGACAGGUUAGCGUCACGGUCAAAGCAUUUCUCAGCCCCCCCCCCCCCUCCCCCAUUAUGCCGCAUCGCCACUGAAUCAUGUGUCCUCGAUGAGCGCCAAGGCAGCCGUUUUCUUAUCUUUGUGGCAGCGCGCUCCUCGGGGGGGGUAGAAGCCGAGGCUGUAAUCUGCCAGGAUCUCCAACAGGAUUCCCCUCCACGAUUAGUGAAUUGUCCGGGGAGCCAGAAGACGCGUGGGCCUUCGGCGGGCCUGUGACUCAGUGGGGUUAAAUAAAGCGUACCUCUGCAGCGCUCGCUAUCCGCCCCGCCUCGGCGGACGUGCGCUUUGUGCGUCUCAGGAAAGGGGAAGUGGGAAUUUGUCAUCUGCUCGGUGCAAGGACACCGUGAAUCUCAAGAGCCUCUGUGUGCUCUUGUUUGACUAAACAAAUAAUCAAGCAAAAAAAAAAAAAGAUGUUUUUUCAAUUUCCACGCAGAGGAAGCUAAUCUUCGAGUCGCCUGAAAUGCGCUGCGUUGCUCGGUGUGAAUGCUGCCAGGGGAACGUCUCUAGAGGUAUUCUUUUCCCUUCGCGGCAUAUCAAACCACAUUGGCUGGCUGAUUCAUGGGCAAUAACUGAAAAUCUGUAUUUUCUUUUUCCUCCUCCUUAAAAUCUAAUUAGCACAGGCUUCCUUUUGAGUGAUUGAAACGGUUUCGCCUGAAUCAACGGUCCUCGCUCUGCAGGGCCGCUUCGCGCAAACUGACCCGUCGGACGAUCAGACAGAAGCAACACGGGCUGAAAUGCACAAUGUUAUCAAUCGCCGCGCACGGGGACGUGAUGGACAAAAAGGAACCUUGACAGCCGUAGGAAGACGGGCUGAAUGGGGGACAAAGGGACAAACGGAGCAUGAGCGAACACGCGGCGGGUGGAGACCAGCUUCUCCAAGAGCCGGAGAGACGACGUCGGGGGGCCACGGAGGCGAUCCUGCAGCCGCACCCGUUCCCGGAUUCCCGCUGCACGCCCGGGAAUGUGACUGGAAUGAACUAAACUCGUCCAUGUUCAGGAGAUACCCAGAACCUUUCUGCGUCCCUCACGGAGCUGAUCGAACAGGCGGGAGACACAACAGCACAGGCUUACGUCCAUCUUAAGCUAAUAACACACAUCGCCACCUCGACGGACGGGAAGACGCCCUCAGGCCCGCUCAGACUGGCAUGACGGGGUCUCUUUGAAAGAUGGCGGGUGCGGCGGCGGGCCGUAGCGACGUCUGUGUUUUUUGCUCGUGAAAUAAGACAAGAGCGUUCGAGGGGCCUCAGCAGAGGAAGAGGAGGGAGGGGAAGGAGACCGGCCCUCGGGGGAGAUGUGCUGGUGCCGCAAUGACAUUUUUGGGGCAGCUGUGAGAGUUACAGAUGAGUAUCAGAUGUUAUCCAUUACUCCUCGGGGGGAAAAAAAAAGGAAACAAUCCAUAACAACAAAGGGCAAGGAGUGAAAUCAGACAAGCGAUUCUAAUCAAGGAUCAUAACAAAAUAUGCAGCACAAUCAACGCGAGGCUCAGCUUGUGCGUUUUGUGAUUGUAAUCAAAACAAAUCUGUUUGUAAAAUUUGAGGAUAAAAACAUCCUGCGCCGCACGUUUGAGGCCCCGCGAGAUGUUUUCCUUCCCUCAUCUCAUUGCCUUUCAUGGCCCCCCCCCUCCGUGUCCUCGCUGCCUCUCGCAUGAAUAAACACCCGAGGUGAACGAGCAAACAUUUGCUCUGCACCCCGCUGCGAAAAGUUGAAACGCGGAGUCAGGUGGGCCGCCUUGUUCGGGCGCCGCUUUCACCCUUAAAAAGCUCACAUGACGCCACACAGCUUCACGUGUAACAUCUAAACUGAUAAUGCGCUUUCACCCGUGGAAUGAUUUUAUGACUCAGGGAUAUAAAAACUCAUGUUCACUUCUUAAUGUGCAUUACUGCUGAAGAGUGUCAUCACUGGGUAAACUAGACUUAGUUCUGCAAUGUGCAGAUUAAUGUUCUCCAUCCUUCAGGCCCACGCGGCUCAAACCGCUGGAUGUUCUUGAUUAUUCGCAGCAGAUAGACAGACUGUCGCCCGAACAUGAACUUCUAUAAAGUCCAAAACCCAGUGGGGGAGAAAAAAAAAUGCUGCAUUCCUCUUAAAGGAAAAGCAACUAAUCCUUCGUGGCUUAUUCCGACGUGCUCGGGCUUCCAUCCCUCGCCGCGUCAACGCUGCUCCAAGUCUCUGCGACUUCACGAGCGACUCAAACAGUCGCUGUUGCAAUUAUUUUCAGCCGAGAGGCCGCCGGGCCUCUUCGGCGUCGACCUUAAACUCCCUGGGGCUGCCGAUCAAGGCGAGGACGCGUGACCGCCAGGACGAUGGAGCGCUUUAAUACGGCAGAACACGCCCCCUCGGGGAGUCGGGCGGUCAGCCCUGCAGAGGUUGUGGGCGGCAAAAUUAAGCACAUCCAUUUCCUCGCGGCCGAUGACGCGCGGCAACUCAGGGCCUCCGACGGGGCUCGGUUUGUUGUCUCGUGCUGUCGCACAAACUCCCCGCUUAUUAAGGGAGCAAAACGAAUGUCUGGACCCGCGUGGCCGGCACCUCGGCGAGCGAAUCGAUUUUCCUGCUUACACGUCCUGGUGACUUUGAUCACCUUUGCUUACAGCCCAGUAGACAAAAAAAAUAAAAUAAUAUAUAUAUAUAUACAUAUAUAUGUGUGUGUGUGUAUAUAUGUAUAUAUAUAUAUGUGUGUAUGUGUGUGUGUGUGUGUAUAUAUACAUAUACAUAUGUGUGUGUAUAUACAUAUAUGUAUACAUACUAUAUAUAUAUAUACAUACACACACACACACACUAUAACCACCAGAGAGGAGAGCGCCGCUGUGGGGGAGGGGGGGUGAUGUCGUGGAUCCGUACAGGUACCGGAUGGAAAUGAGCUUUUCUGAGGACUGGUGGCACCACCGUGACCGGUCUUUGUCCCCCAAAAGUGACUCUCAGUCACGAGUCUGAUCCCGAGGGAUCGGCCUUUAACGCACACGCGCACGACAAAGCGCUUUCUUUCAAACGCAAACUCGGGCCUCGUCGCGGCCCCCCCGGCGGCUCCCUCGCUGCAAAGAAACUCGGCCGGGGUUGAAAAGCAGCACGCAGAUGUGUCCAAUUAACACCUGCUCCGGUGGUUUCGCCCGCGUUUUUAUCUCCGUCACGCUCGCAACGUCUCACAUCUCUGCUUCUGCAUUUUACACCUCGAAGGGCUAAUCUGCAACUUGCCAACACCUCGCUCUCCUCGGCCCGGAGAGCUCUGUUCCCUCAGUGGAUUCGGGACCAGUGUGGGAGGAAAGCGGGUCUUUCAGUAACUGUCUGUGAUUUGCUGGUUCGUUGUCGACCAUCUACAUGUUUAAGGAUUUUAUCACCUUACACAAAAAAAA
ensembl:lncRNA